GACGAACGCUAGCGGCGUGCUUAACACAUGCAAGUCGAACGGAAAGGCCUCUUUCGGGGGGUACUCGAGUGGCGAACGGGUGAGUAACACGUGAGUAACCUGCCCUUGACUUUGGGAUAACUUCAGGAAACUGGGGCUAAUACCGGAUAGGAGCUCCUGCUGCAUGGUGGGGGUUGGAAAGUUUCGGCGGUUGGGGAUGGACUCGCGGCUUAUCAGCUUGUUGGUGGGGUAGUGGCUUACCAAGGCUUUGACGGGUAGCCGGCCUGAGAGGGUGACCGGCCACAGUGGGACUGAGAUACGGCCCAGACUCCUACGGGAGGCAGCAGUGGGGAAUAUUGCACAAUGGGUGGAAGCCUGAUGCAGCAACGCCGUGUGCGGGAUGACGGCCUUCGGGUUGUAAACCGCUUUCGCUCAUGACGAAGCUUUGUGUGACGGUAGUGGGUAAAGAAGCACCGGCUAACUACGUG
rnacentral:rRNA from 1 species